rnacentral:rRNA from 1 species
AGGACGAACGCUGGCGGCGUGCUUAACACAUGCAAGUUGAACGGUAUGACAUGGAAGCUUGCUGAAGUGUCAUAUAGUAGCGGACGGGUGAGUAAUGCAUGAGAAGCUGCCAUUGGGAGGGGGACAACAGUUGGAAACGGCUGCUAAUACCCCGUAUGCCGGAAGGUGAAAGGGAGCGAUCCGCCCGAUGAGGUGCUCAUGUCCUAUCAGCUGGUUGGUGGGGUAACGGCCUACCAAGGCGACGACGGGUAGCCGGCCUGAGAGGGUGAACGGCCACACUGGAACUGAGAUACGGUCCAGACUCCUACGGGAGGCAGCAGUGGGGAAUAAUUGGGCAAUGGGGGCAACCCUGACCCAGCGACGCCGCGUGGGGGAAGACGGCCUUCGGGUUGUAAACCUCUUUUGUACGGGAAGAAGGAAGUGACGGUACUGUACGAAUAAGUCCCGGCUAACUACGUGCCAGCCGCCGC